rnacentral:misc_RNA from 1 species
AAGUCGUAACAAGGUUUCCGUAGGUGAACCUGCGGAAGGAUCAUUAAAGAGUUAGGGUCUCUCAGGCCCGACCUCCCAACCCUUUGUUUACUGAACCAUUGUUGCUUCGGUGGGUCCGUCUCGCGCCCGCCGGGGGACCCAAACUCUUGUUUUUAACGAGUAUCUUCUGAGUAACGUUUUUAAAUAAAUAAAAACUUUCAACAACGGAUCUCUUGGUUCUG